rnacentral:rRNA from 1 species
CAGCAGCCGCGGUAACACGAAGGGUGCAAGCGUUAAUCGGAAUUACUGGGCGUAAAGCGUGCGUAGGCGGUUUGUUAAGUCUGCUGUGAAAUCCCCGGGCUCAACCUGGGAAUGGCAGUGGAUACUGGCAAGCUAGAGUGUGUCAGAGGAUGGUGGAAUUCCCGGUGUAGCGGUGAAAUGCGUAGAGAUCGGGAGGAACAUCAGUGGCGAAGGCGGCCAUCUGGGACAACACUGACGCUGAGGCACGAAAGCGUGGGGAGCAAACAGGAUUAGAUACCCGUGUAGUCCCUGUCUCUUAUAC